GUGAGGAAUAUUGCGCAAUGGAGGCAACUCUGACGCAGUCAUGCCGCGUGCAGGAAGAAGGCGCUACGCGUUGUAAACUGCUUUUAACCGGGAAGAAACCCCAGGACGUGUCCUGGGUUGACGGUACCGGAGGAAUAAGCACCGGCUAACUUCGUGCCAGCAGCCGCGGUAAUACGAAGGGUGCAAGCGUUAUCCGGAUUCAUUGGGUUUAAAGGGUGCGUAGGCGGAGCGUUAAGUCAGUGGUGAAAUCCUGCAGCUUAACUGUAGACUUGCCAUUGAUACUGGCGCUCUUGAGUGCGCUUGAAGUGGGCGGAAUGUGCCGUGUAGCGGUGAAAUGCUUAGAUAUGGCACAGAACACCAAUUGCGAAGGCAGCUCACUAAGGCGAUACUGACGCUGAGGCACGAAAGCGUGGGGAUCGAACAGGAUUAGAUACCCGGGUAGUCC
rnacentral:rRNA from 1 species